AAUAGAUACCCUGGUAGUCCACGCCGUAAACGAUGAUCACUAGACGUUGGUUCCGCUCUGCGGGAUCAGUGUCGUAGCUAACGCGAUAAGUGAUCCGCCUGGGGAGUACGGUCGCAAGAUUAAAACUUAAAGAAAUUGACGGGGGUCCGCACAAGCGGUGGAACAUGUGGUUUAAUUCGACACUACGCGAGGAACCUUACCUAGGCUUGACAUGCAUAUGACCGCUCUAGAGAUAGAGUUUUCGGGGUAACCUCGAACAUUUGCACAGGUGCUGCAUGGCUGUCGUCAGCUCGUGUCGUGAGAUGUUGGGUUAAGUCCUUUAACGAGCGCAACUCCUAUCGUCAGUUGCUACUUCGCAAGAAGGCACUCUGAUGAGACUGCCUGGGAAACCAGGAGGAAGGCGGGAAUGACGUCAAGUCCGCAUGGUCCUUAUGCCUAGGGCUACACACGUGUUACAAUGGUCGGUACAAAGGGCUGCAAGCUCGCAAGAGUAAGCGAAUCCCAUAAAGCCGAUCU
rnacentral:rRNA from 1 species